rnacentral:lncRNA from 1 species
AGAUGUUCUCUGGGAUGCAGACAUUUCCCUGAACAAGUCCAUCACAGAGAGCAGGAGAGUCUGGCCUCUUCAGAUGUGAGCCAUCAUUAAGUUCAAAUUCACUCCACCAUCCAUGCAAACUGUGAGAGCUGCUCCAUGGUGCCCAAAUCAGCACAUUCAGCUAGAAUCUCUUGUCACUGGAGAAGCUGUCUGAUUCUCUGAACAUGACGCAAGCCUUGCUGUCACCACCACCGUGAAGGUCAGAUACAGCACCCAAGGCCAUCCCACCACACUCGUCCCACCUGGCUUGUGUCAAUGUUCC